UAAAUCUUUAAUCCUAAGGCUAAGAUGAUUUUUAAUUGAGAAACCCUAGUCAUUUCCUCAUCUCUCUCUCUUCCUCUCUUUCUCUGCGAUGGCAGAGCUAAGAUUUGGCUCUAUCUCCAUUUUAAACUAAGUUUUGACCUCCACCACCCAAGACCAGAACCUCGCGUGCCUAUUUCGAGCAAAGGAGAUCUCUUUUCUCCUUCCCUUUUGCUUGUUUGCAGAUGGAUUACUAUUUUUCCACCCGAAAGCAAAUCGAAUCCUCACAUGGCAGACGAUAAUUUCACUAUUUCAGGCAUUUUCUGUGGCGUAUCUCUGCCAUAUCAAGAGAAUAGCCAUGGAGACCACCCAACGUUCAAAUUUGAACGCCCCUUGACUCGAUUUCGAACCUCAAAAUCCCGCCCAAACUAACGCUAGAAGUGCCCUAAUUCAUCUCCUAUAAAUACCAAACUUGGUGGAGAUUUUCAGCAACUUUUGGACCCGCUCUUACACUUUUCCGAGCCUCUUUCUCUGAUUUCUUACACAUUAAAACCACACUUUAAGGGCUCGUUUUGGUCAGCCUCUAUUGGUUUUUUGUUUAACCGUAAUAGAGGCGGUGGCGUUCGGAAUUCGACGAUCGUUUGAGCUUGCGUAAUAGAGGCCGGAGAUAGUAGAUCUUGACGCGACCCCAGUUCCUGCACCGCAAAAGGUCAGUUUUCCCUUCUAAGUAUUAGUCGCUCUUUAUUUUUCUUAUUAAGUAUAAAGUUGUCGUUUUCUUAUCCAGUGGAAUCAUGUGUUAGUCCCCUUUUAUUCUGUUAUAGAAGUUCAUGGUUUAGUUGCUUUAUUAUUAUUUUUAUUUUUUGUUGUAUAAAUCAUGUGCACAUAAAUUUGUUUGGUUCACUCAUGAAUCAUAUUCAUAAGAUCUGCUAUUUUCGAGCUAAUUAGGAAUUAAGAAGUUUCACGUUAAAACUUGAUCUCAAAAACUAGUUUAAUCUCUAUCAGUCUCUGCCCGAUUCAAUUUCAUUAAAAGAAGAGUAAACUGAAACCUGAAGAGCACCAGGUUCUCUGUUCCAAUUAAGGUUAUAUGUAAACCUGCUAUUCUGUAUUUAUUACUUUAAGUAACAUAUUGGGAAUCAUGAUUUAGAGUUCAUUGUGUGUAGAAAUUAUGUCUUAAAGGAAUUUAGUUUCUGGGCGUGUGGCAUUUGCAUGACUGAUAAUGUUCCACAAAAAUGCUAGUUGUUUUGUUAAAAGUUACCAUGUGUUGUAUCAUUUAUAAGUGUUGUAGAAGUUUUGUCUUGUGUUUUUAUUUUUAUUUUUCUUGUUCUUAUGCAGCAGAGAUUCAUGCCUUAAAUUCUGUCAGAAUCAUGACUAUAGGAAUCUAUUGCCUUGCAUAGAUAUGUGGAAAAGCAACAUGUUCUCUAACUGUUAGGACUCACCAUAAGUUUGAACCUUUAAAUGGAAACCAUGUUCAUCUACUGUUUGAAUAUUAAAAAAACAUCUUAUAAGUUCAUGAUUAAGAACUAUUUCUAAAAAAUAAUCUUAUUUUAGCCAUAGAUUGAUUUCGCGUACAUUUGAGAAAUCAUACUUUUAAGAAAAGGAUAGUAUCAAUUUGAAAUAUAUGUGUACAUUUAAGAUAUUCAUGUAGACUAUUAAAGUAUCUGUUAGAAUCCAUGCUAAUUAACAAACUGUAGUGUUACUUGAUAUUAUGUUAUGACUACAUGUGGUUUAGGAUAUUGUCAAAUGACUGACUUAUGUGGUAGAAUAACAUUAAGUCGUGUUAAGUAUUUGUCUUAAUUGAGGUAGUGUUAGUUUGAGUUAGAAAGAGAACCUUCAGCUAUUUUGUUGUAUAACUUGUCUAAUAGUUUAUUGUUUACCAGACGUAUAUUCUAAAACUCUAACCUGUGUCAGUUUAAUCACCUGAAUGUAAAGAUUUAUAUAGGUUUAUGUAGGAACUUACUGUUGAAAACCUUUUCUCUAAGCCUGGAUGCUAAAAGUUUUGUUUGGAAUUCUAUUAUCUGAUAUAAAAGAAGCAUACAAGGCUAAAAUACUUUUGAUAAUAUGAAAUCUAAUAUAGAUUUCACAAAAAGAUUUCCUGUUAUUAUUCUACUCAUUUCGUACACUGUAAGUUUAAGACUAUUUUUUUUACUAAUCUUUAUUCUCCACUUUUUUAUUUGCAUGUACACUUCGGAGCGACAUGGAGUCUUAAUGCAAGACUCUUCCUACCCGCAUAGAGUUAUCACAAACUAUUUCCUUUAAUCGCAUUGGACAAGAAUAAAACAAGCAAAUUCGCUUGGGUUUGCCUAUGGCGGCUUUCAUUAUUCCUUACUUACUUUGUCUAAAUUUUGUCAGUUUAUGUGAUUUGAUUUGGUUUGGAGUUCGUUUUAUUAUUGAUGAUUAAUUUUAUCGUGUAAAUUUAUAACAGUAAUUUUGGCCAAAUAUCUUACUA